GAUGAACGCUGGCGGCGUGCCUAAUACAUGCAAGUCGAGCGAAUGGAUUAAGAGCUUGCUCUUAUGAAGUUAGCGGCGGACGGGUGAGUAACACGUGGGUAACCUGCCCAUAAGACUGGGAUAACUCCGGGAAACCGGGGCUAAUACCGGAUAACAUUUUGAACCGCAUGGUUCGAAAUUGAAAGGCGGCUUCGGCUGUCACUUAUGGAUGGACCCGCGUCGCAUUAGCUAGUUGGUGAGGUAACGGCUCACCAAGGCAACGAUGCGUAGCCGACCUGAGAGGGUGAUCGGCCACACUGGGACUGAGACACGGCCCAGACUCCUACGGGAGGCAGCAGUAGGGAAUCUUCCACAAUGGACGAAAGUCUGACGGAGCAACGCCGCGUGAGUGAUGAAGGCUUUCGGGUCGUAAAACUCUGUUGUUAGGGAGGAACAAGUGCUAGUUGAAUAAGCUGGCACCUUGACGGUACCUAACCAGAAAGCCACGGCUACUACGUGCCAGCAGCCGCGGUAA
rnacentral:rRNA from 1 species